UACGUAGGGUGCGAGCGUUAAUCGGAAUUACUGGGCGUAAAGCGUGCGCAGGCGGUUCGUUAUGUCCGAUGUGAAAGCCCCGAGCUCAACUUGGGAAUGGCAUUGGAAACUGGCGGGCUGGAGUGUGGCAGAGGGGGGUGGAAUUCCACGUGUAGCAGUGAAAUGCGUAGAGAUGUGGAGGAACACCGAUGGCGAAGGCAGCCCCCUGGGCUAACACUGACGCUCAUGCACGAAAGCGUGGGGAGCAAACAGG
rnacentral:rRNA from 1 species